CAAGUACUCCCUCCAUCCGGAAUUACUUGUCAUCAAAAUGGAUGUGUCUAGAACUAAAAUACAUCUAGAUACAUCCAUUUCAAUGACAAGUAUUUUCGGAUGGAGGGAGUAGAAG
rnacentral:pre_miRNA from 1 species